rnacentral:rRNA from 2 species
GCGCCUAUCAUGCAGUCGAGCGAACUGAUUAGAAGCUUGCUUCUAUGACGUUAGCGGCGGACGGGUGAGUAACACGUGGGCAACCUGCCUGUAAGACUGGGAUAACUUCGGGAAACCGAAGCUAAUACCGGAUAGGAUCUUCUCCUUCAUGGGAGAUGAUUGAAAGAUGGUUUCGGCUAUCACUUACAGAUGGGCCCGCGGUGCAUUAGCUAGUUGGUGAGGUAACGGCUCACCAAGGCAACGAUGCAUAGCCGACCUGAGAGGGUGAUCGGCCACACUGGGACUGAGACACGGCCCAGACUCCUACGGGAGGCAGCAGUAGGGAAUCUUCCGCAAUGGACGAAAGUCUGACGGAGCAACGCCGCGUGAGUGAUGAAGGCUUUCGGGUCGUAAAACUCUGUUGUUAGGGAAGAACAAGUACGAGAGUAACUGCUCGUACCUUGACGGUACCUAACCAGAAAGCCACGGCUAACUACGUGCCAGCAGCCGCGGUAAUACGUAGGUGGCAAGCGUUAUCCGGAAUUAUUGGGCGUAAAGCGCGCGCAGGCGGUUUCUUAAGUCUGAUGUGAAAGCCCACGGCUCAACCGUGGAGGGUCAUUGGAAACUGGGGAACUUGAGUGCAGAAGAGAAAAGCGGAAUUCCACGUGUAGCGGUGAAAUGCGUAGAGAUGUGGAGGAACACCAGUGGCGAAGGCGGCUUUUUGGUCUGUAACUGACGCUGAGGCGCGAAAGCGUGGGGAGCAAACAGGAUUAGAUACCCUGGUAGUCCACGCCGUAAACGAUGAGUGCUAAGUGUUAGAGGGUUUCCGCCCUUUAGUGCUGCAGCUAACGCAUUAAGCACUCCGCCUGGGGAGUACGGUCGCAAGACUGAAACUCAAAGGAAUUGACGGGGGCCCGCACAAGCGGUGGAGCAUGUGGUUUAAUUUCGAAGCAACGCGAAGAACCUUACCAGGUCUUGACAUCCUCUGACACUCUAGAGAUAGAGCGUUCCCCUUCGGGGACAGAGUGACAGGUGGUGCAUGGUUGUCGUCAGCUCGUGUCGUGAGAUGUUGGGUUUAG